UACGUAGGGUGCGAGCGUUGUCCGGAAUUAUUGGGCGUAAAGGGCUCGUAGGCGGUUUGUCGCGUCGGGAGUGAAAACUCAGGGCUUAACCCUGAGCCUGCUUCCGAUACGGGCAGACUAGAGGUAUGCAGGGGAGAACGGAAUUCCUGGUGUAGCGGUGAAAUGCGCAGAUAUCAGGAGGAACACCGGUGGCGAAGGCGGUUCUCUGGGCAUUACCUGACGCUGAGGAGCGAAAGUGUGGGGAACGAACAGG
rnacentral:rRNA from 1 species